rnacentral:rRNA from 1 species
GACGAACGCUGGCGGCGUGCUUAACACAUGCCAGUCGAACGGAAAGGCCCUGCUUUUGUGGGGUGCUCGAGUGGCGAACGGGUGAGUAACACGUGAGUAACCUGCCCUUGACUUUGGGAUAACUUCAGGAAACUGGGGCUAAUACCGGAUAGGAGCUCCUGCUGCAUGGUGGGGGUUGGAAAGUUUCGGCGGUUGGGGAUGGACUCGCGGCUUAUCAGCUUGUUGGUGGGGUAGUGGCUUACCAAGGCUAUGACGGGUAGCCGGCCUGAGAGGGUGACCGGCCACAUUGGGACUGAGAUACGGCCCAGACUCCUACGGGAGGCAGCAGUGGGGAAUAUUGCACAAUGGGCGGAAGCCUGAUGCAGCAACGCCGCGUGCGGGAUGACGGCCUUCGGGUUGUAAACCGCUUUCGCCUGUGACGAAGCGUGAGUGACGGUAAUGGGUAAAGAAGCACCGGCUAACUACGUG